GGUGGUAUCAGCAGUGCGGUGGUGGAUAGACCCAAUAGGGAUUGCUGUGUUCUGUGCUCUAAUGAAGUUCCAAAGCUUUAUCAACAUAAGCAGAAUGAAGCCUACUACUGCAAGGUGCAUCUACCACAGUGGAAGAACCAGGUAUGUUAUGUCUGCAAGGAACCCCUUCCCCCAACAGGUAGCGUGUCCAUCUACCAGUGCAGGUGGUGUAGAAGAAGUGUUGGUAGAAGGUGUAUUCAGAUCAAGAUGAAUUGAUGACCAUUUGUGUUAAGUCAGGAUCGAUAACAUUUCCUCCACAAGUGCUUAUCACAUGUCAAUGUUGGCAAGAGGUCUUUGUAAAAGAAAAAUAAUGUGAAGUCAUAUAAAUAGGGUUGUUUUUCAAUACCAGCUGGUGGUGUACUGUAGUAGGUCAGUGAUAUACGAAAUGAAAA